rnacentral:rRNA from 1 species
ACUUGGAGAUAGCUGGUUCUCUCCGAAAUAGCUUUAGGGCUAGCCUCGAGGUAAAGAGUCAUGGAGGUAGAGCACUGUUUGGACUAGGGGCCCUUCUCGGGUUACCGAAUUCAGAUAAACUCCGAAUGCCAUGUACUUAUACUCGGGAGUCAGACUGCGAGUGAUAAGAUCCGUAGUCGAAAGGGAAACAGCCCAGACCACCAGUUAAGGUCCCCAAAUAUAUGUUAAGUGGAAAAGGAUGUGGGGUUGCUUAGACAACCAGGAUGUUGGCUUAGAAGCAGCCACCAUUGAAAGAGUGCGUAAUAGCUCACUGGUCGAGUGACCCCGCGCCGAAAAUGUACCGGGGCUAAACAUAUUACCGAAACUGUGGAUGAACCUCUUUAGAGGUUCGUGGUAGGAGAGCGUUCUAAGGGCGGUGAAGUCAGACCGGAAGGACUGGUGGAGCGCUUAGAAGUGAGAAUGCCGGUAUGAGUAGCGAAAGAAGGGUGAGAAUCCCUUCCACCGAAUAUCUAAGGUUUCCUGAGGAAGGCUCGUCCGCUCAGGGUUAGUCGGGACCUAAGCCGAGGCCGAUAGGCGUAGGCGAUGGACAACAGGUAGAGAUUCCUGUACCAGUGCUAAUUGUUUAACCGAUGGGGUGACACAGAAGGAUAGGGAAUCGCACGAAUGGAAAUGUGCGUCCAAGCAGUGAGUGUGAGAAGUAGGCAAAUCCGCUUCUCGCGAAGCAUGAGCUGUGAUGGGGAAGGAAAUUAAGUACGGAAGUUCCUGAUUUCACGCUGUCAAGAAAAGCCUCUAGGAAGAGUAGUACUGCCCGUACCGCAAACCGACACAGGUAGAUGAGGAGAGAAUCCUAAGGUGAGCGAGAGAACUCUCGUUAAGGAACUCGGCAAAAUGACCCCGUAACUUCGGGAGAAGGGGUGCUCUAUUAGGGUGCAAGCCCGAGAGAGCCGCAGUGAAUAGGCCCAGGCGACUGUUUAGCAAAAACACAGGUCUCUGCAAAACCGUAAGGUGACGUAUAGGGGCUGACGCCUGCCCGGUGCUGGAAGGUUAAGAGGAGUGCUUAGCUUCGGCGAAGGUACGAAUUGAAGCCCCAGUAAACGGCGGCCGUAACUAUAACGGUCCUAAGGUAGCGAAAUUCCUUGUCGGGUAAGUUCCGACCCGCACGAAAGGCGCAACGAUCUGGGCACUGUCUCAACGAGAGACUCGGUGAAAUUAUAGUACCUGUGAAGAUGCAGGUUACCCGCGACAGGACGGAAAGACCCCGUGGAGCUUUACUGCAACCUGAUAUGGAAUGUUUGUACCGCUUGUACAGGAUAGGUAGGAGCCGAAGAGACGUGUGCGCUAGCAUACGAGGAGGCAAUGGUGGGAUACUACCCUGGCUGUAUGACCAUUCUAACCCGCCACGCUUAGCGCGUGGGGAGACAGUGUCAGGUGGGCAGUUUGACUGGGGCGGUCGCCUCCUAAAGAGUAACGGAGGCGCCCAAAGGUUCCCUC